CCCACGAAUCAGCUGUUCGUGCAGGAAGCCGGGGCAGGCUGAGAAGCAAGCGGCGGCUUUCUGCUCAGGCCCAGGGAGGCAGAGCUGAGGUGAGCUCGGACAGGGGAGGGCGCGAAGAGGGCGGCCCACGCCGCAGCAGCUUCAACCUUGUCUGUGGGUGUUCACCACACCAGCACAAAGGCUGUCCCAGAUUAGAAAGUGAAAAAAAGCAGACAAGAGAAGACAUGUUCUGUGAUUUGAUGCAUUCCUCCGAGACUGACCGGGCCCAGCUGAAUGCUUACACUGUCGGAGAGCAUGCACACUGACCAAGAGGGCAGGAAAGCAUACAGAGAUCAAGAGUGUAACACACAAGAGGAGAUGUUGCAGCUUAUGGGGGAGCAAACGGACAUGUUGAGGCAUCUGGUUGAGGUGCAGGAAAGGCAGCUAGACCUUAGAAUCCCGCUGCACCCAAUGAUGAACCAGCUGCCCUCCUCACCAACUUCCAUAUCCUCCUCUCCCAGACAUCCUAGAAUGCUGGGGAGUGGGCGGGGGGGGGGGGGGAAAGAGUAUUGUUAUCCCUUGAACUCAACUCCAGGGGAUGGUUCAUGGAGCAGAAGGCUCUCAUUCCCACAGCUUUGAUUGCUAGAUAGUGCAAUUGUAGUAAGCUACGUGUCCUUGCCCCUCCCCCCUGUUUUAUCAGGCCCUUAGACCCGGGUUAUCUUUGCUAUUCAUUGCUGUCUCUGUUCAGUGUUUGUUAGCAUAAUGAAAAUGCAUGAAUUGAA